GGGGGCUAUAAUGCAAGUCGAGCGAACAGAUAAGGAGCUUGCUCCUUUGACGUUAGCGGCGGACGGGUGAGUAACACGUGGAUAACCUACCUAUAAGACUGGGAUAACUUCGGGAAACCGGAGCUAAUACCGGAUAACAUAUUGAACCGCAUGGUUCAAUAGUGAAAGGCGGCUUUGCUGUCACUUAUAGAUGGAUCCGCGCCGUAUUAGCUAGUNNUGNGUAANGGNUAACGGCUUAUCCAAGGCAACGAUACGUAGCCGACCUGAGAGGGUGAUCGGGCCACACUGGAACUGAGACACGGUCCAGACUCCUACGGGAGGCAGCAGUAAGGGAAUCUUCCGCAAUGGGCGAAAGCCUGACGGAGCAAACGCCGCGUGAGUGAUGAAAGUCUUCGGAUCGUAAAAACUCUGUUAUCAGGGAAGAACAAAUGUGUAAGUAACUGUGCACAUCUUGACGGUACCUGAUCAGAAAGCCACGGCUAACUACGUGCCAGCAGCCGCGGUAAUACGUAGGUGGCAAGCGUUAUCCGGAAUUAUUGGGCGUAAAGCGCGCGUAGGCGGUUUUUUAAGUCUGAUGUGAAAGCCCACGGCUCAACCGUGGAGGGUCAUUGGAAACUGGAAAACUUGAGUGCAGAAGAGGAAAGUGGAAUUCCAUGUGUAGCGGUGAAAUGCGCAGAGAUAUGGAGGAACACCAGUGGCGAAGGCGACUUUCUGGUCUGUAACUGACGCUGAUGUGCGAAAGCGUGGGGAUCAAACAGGAUUAGAUACCCUGGUAGUCCACGCCGUAAACGAUGAGUGCUAAGUGUUAGGGGGUUUCCGCCCCUUAGUGCUGCAGCUAACGCAUUAAGCACUCCGCCUGGGGAGUACGACCGCAAGGUUGAAACUCAAAGGAAUUUGACGGGGACCCGCACAAGCGGUGGAGCAUGUGGUUUAAUUCGAAGCAACGCGAAGAACCUUACCAAAUCUUGACAUCCUUUGACCACCUCUAGAGAUAGAGUUUUCCCCUUCGGGGGACAAAGUGACAGGUGGUGCAUGGGUGUCGUCAGCUUCGUGUCGUGAAGAUGUUGGGUUAAGUCCCGCAACGAGCGCCAACCCUUAAGGCUUAGUUGCCAUCAUUAAGUUGGGCACUNCUAAGUUUGACUGCCGGUGACAAACCNGGAGGAANGGUGGNGGNAUGAACGUCCAAAUCAUCAUGCCCCUUAUGAUUUGGGCUACACACGUGCUACAAUGGACAAUACAAAGGGCAGCUAAACCGCGAGGUCAAGCAAAUCCCAUAAAGUUGUUCUCAGUUCGGAUUGUAGUCUGCAACUCGACUACAUGAAGCUGGAAUCGCUAGUAAUCGUAGAUCAGCAUGCUACGGUGAAUACGUUCCCGGGUCUUGUACACACCGCCCGUCACACCACGAGAGUUUGUAACACCCGAAGCCGGUGGAGUAACCAUUUAUGGAGCUAGCCGUCGAAGNNGACA
rnacentral:rRNA from 1 species